UACGUAUGGUGCAAGCGUUAUCCGGAUUUACUGGGUGUAAAGGGAGCGCAGGCGGCACGGCAAGCCUGAUGUGAAAGCCCGCGGCCCAACCGCGGGACUGCAUUGGGAACUACCGGGCUGGAGUGCCGGAGAGGUAGGCGGAAUUCCUAGUGUAGCGGUGAAAUGCGUAGAUAUUAGGAGGAACACCAGUGGCGAAGGCGGCCUACUGGACGGUGACUGACGCUGAGGCUCGAAAGCGUGGGGAGUAAACAGG
rnacentral:rRNA from 1 species